GACGAACGCUGGCGGCGUGCUUAACACAUGCAAGUCGAACGGAAAGGCCCUGCUUUUGUGGGGUGCUCGAGUGGCGAACGGGUGAGUAACACGUGAGUAACCUGCCCUUGACUUUGGGAUAACUUUAGGAAACUGGGGCUAAUACCGGAUAGGAGCUCCUGCUGCAUGGUGGGGGUUGGAAAGUUUCGGCGGUUGGGGAUGGACUCGCGGCUUAUCAGCUUGUUGGUGGGGUAGUGGCUUACCAAGGCUUUGACGGGUAGCCGGCCUGAGAGGGUGACCGGCCACAUUGGGACUGGGAUACGGCCCAGACUCCUACGGGAGGCAGCAGUGGGGAAUAUUGCACGAUGGGCGGAAGCCUGAUGCAGCAACGCCGCGUGCGGGAUGACGGCCUUCGGGUUGUAAACCGCUUUCGCCUGUGACGAAGCGUGAGUGACGGUAAUGGGUAAAGAAGCACCGGCUAGCUACGUG
rnacentral:rRNA from 1 species